rnacentral:rRNA from 1 species
UACGGAGGGGGCUAGCGUUAUCCGGAAUGAUUGGGCGUAAAGCGUCCGCAGGUGGCAAUGUAAGUCUGCUGUCAAAGCGUCUGGCUCAACCAGAUAAAGGCAGUGGAAACUACAUAGCUAGAGUAAGGUAGGGGUAGAGGGAAUUCCUGGUGUAGCGGUGAAAUGCGUAGAGAUCAGGAAGAACACCAGUGGCGAAGGCGGCUCACUGGUCCGGUACUGACGCUGAGGUGCGAAAGCGUGGGGAGCAAACAGG